UUGACCUCAAAUCAGGUAGGACUACCCGCUGAACUUAAGCAUAUCAAUAAGCGGAGGAACCGCUGAACUUAAGCAUAUCAAUAAGCGGAGGAA
rnacentral:rRNA from 1 species